CAGGAAAAGCCUCUAAGCUUCAGAUUGUAAGGAAUCGUACCCCAAACCGACACAGGUGGUCGGGUAGAGAAUACCAAGGCGCUUGAGAGAACUCGGGUGAAGGAACUAGGCAAAAUGGUACCGUAACUUCGGGAGAAGGUACGCUCUUGAUGGUGAAGUCCCUUGCGGAUGGAGCUGACGAGAGUCGCAGAUACCAGGUGGCUGCAACUGUUUAUUAAAAACACAGCACUGUGCAAAAUCGUAAGAUGACGUAUACGGUGUGACGCCUGCCCGGUGCCGGAA
rnacentral:rRNA from 1 species